AACGGCCAUACCAUGCUGAAUAUACCGGUUCUCGUUAGAUCACCGAAGUCAAGCAUCAUUGGGCGCGGUUAGUACUUGGGUGGGUGACCACCACCUGGGAACACCGCUUGCCGU
rnacentral:rRNA from 1 species